rnacentral:rRNA from 1 species
CCUACGGGAGGCAGCAGUGGGGAAUUUUGGACAAUGGGCGAAAGCCUGAUCCAGCAAUGCCGCGUGAGUGAAGAAGGCCUUCGGGUUGUAAAGCUCUUUUGUCAGGGAAGAAACGGGUGAGGGCUAAUAUCCCUUGCUAAUGACGGUACCUGAAGAAUAAGCACCGGCUAACUACGUGCCAGCAGCCGCGGUAAUACGUAGGGUGCAAGCGUUAAUCGGAAUUACUGGGCGUAAAGCGUGCGCAGGCGGUUUUGUAAGUCUGUCGUGAAUCCCGGGCUCAACCUGGGAAUUGCGAUGGAGACUGCAAGGCUAGAAUCUGGCAGAGGGGGGUAGGAAUUCCACGUGUAGCAGUGAAAUGCGUAGAGAUGUGGAGGAACACCGAUGGCGAAGGCAGCCCCCUGGGUCAAGAUUGACGCUCAUGCACGAAAGCGUGGGGAGCAAACAGGAUUAGAUACCCUGGUAGUCCACGCCCUAAACGAUGUCUACUAGUUGUCGGGUUUUAAUUAACUUGGUAACGCAGCUAACGCGUGAAGUAGACCGCCUGGGGGNGGUACGGUCGCGAAGUAAGUUAAAACUUAAAAGUUAGUAAGUUAGUUAGGCGUUGNGAGUGCGAGGACGACGACGAGGGAGGAGG